rnacentral:rRNA from 1 species
UACGGGGGGAGCAAGCGUUGUUCGGAUUUACUGGGCGUAAAGGGCGCGUAGGCGGUCAGCACAAGUCAGUUGUGAAAUCUCCCGGGCUUAACUCGGAAAGGUCAACUGAUACUGUGCGACUAGAGUGCAGAAGGGGCAACUGGAAUUCUCGGUGUAGCGGAUGAAAUGCGUAGAUAUCGAGAGGAACACCUGCGGCGAAGGCGGGUUGCUGGGCUGACACUGACGCUGAUGCGCGAAAGCUAGGGGAGCAAACAGG